rnacentral:rRNA from 1 species
ACGGAGGGGGCUAGCGUUGUUCGGAAUUACUGGGCGUAAAGCGCACGUAGGCGGCGAUUUAAGUCAGAGGUGAAAGCCCGGGGCUCAACCCCGGAUCGGCCUUGCGGACGGAGCGGCUCGAGCACUGUAGAGGCAGGUGGAAUUCCGGGUGUAGCGGUGGAAUGCGUAGAGAUCCGGGAGAACACCGGUGGCGAAGGCGGCCUGCUGGGCAGUGACCGAAAGGUCUUCAAGCUGACGCUGAGGCGCGACAGCGUGGGGAGCAAACAGGA